rnacentral:lncRNA from 1 species
AUCUCGUCCAAUAAAGCAAGAUUAAUAAUCUGAUUCUCUUUCCUCCUUUCGGUACCUUCGUCCUCACCUAUAAAUAGAAGGUCAAAAGAGAUCCUUAAGAUAUGCUCUCGCAUCUCUUUCAAUACUCACUUCUUCCCAUCUAUUGUUUAGUUUUUGAUUUGAGUGUCAGAGGAUCCUCAUUGGAGCUAACUCUAAUCAAAAACUUAUUUUGCAGGUCA